rnacentral:rRNA from 1 species
GCGGUCCCAAAAGGGUCAGUGCUGCAACAUUUUGCUGCCGGUCACGGUUCGAACGUACGGACGUCCAGCUGCUAAGCAUCCACUU